rnacentral:lncRNA from 10 species
CAGGCUGCCCGAGCCAGCAGCGGUAAUCUGCUGUGGUCUUUUUCCACGGUUUGGAAGCUUUAUUUUUUUGCUCUUUGCAAUAAAUAUUGUUGCUGCUAAUUCUUUGAGUCCACACUGCUUUUGUGAGUUGUAGCACUCACCCGAAGGUUUGCAGCUUCACUCCUGAAGCCAGUGAGACCACGAACCCAACGAGAGGAACGAAGAAUUCCAGACGCGCUGCAUUAAGAGCUGUAACACUCACUGCGAAGGUCUGCAGCUUCACUUUUGAAGCCAGCAAGACCACGAACCCAUCAGAAGGAAGAAACUCCAAACACAUCCGAGCAGCAGAAGGAACAAACUCCGGACACGCUGCCUUUAAGAACUGUGACACUCAGAGCGAGGGUCUGCGGCAUCACAUUUGAAGUCAGUGAGACCAAGAACCCACCGAUUCCGGACGCGAGCAGGUUGCUUCAGGGUAUAGACAUUUGGCACAGUACUGCAGCAUAAACCCAUCAAGAUUAAGGAAACCAUGGGGGCCGAGCAUGGUGGUUCACACCUGUAAUCCCAGCACUUUGGAAGGUUGAGGUUAGAAUUCCAAUGCAGCACUGAGUAGAACUGAGGAUUAUGUAACAUCUUAUUAUGCCUGAUUUUUAAAA